rnacentral:rRNA from 1 species
CAGGGAUUGCCCUAGUAACGGCGAGUGAAGCGGCAACAGCUCAAAUUUGAAAUCUGGCUCUUUUAGAGUCCGAGUUGUAAUUUGCAGAGGGCGCUUUGGCGUUGGCAGCGGUCCAAGUUCUUUGGAACAGGACGUCACAGAGGGUGAGAAUCCCGUACGUGGUCGCUAGCCUUCGCCGUGUAAAGCCCCUUCGACGAGUCGAGUUGUUUGGGAAUGCAGCUCUAAAUGGGAGGUAAAUUUCUUCUAAAGCUAAAUACUGGCCAGAGACCGAUAGCGCACAAGUAGAGUGAUCGAAAGAUGAAAAGCACUUUGGAAAGAGAGUCAAAUAGCACGUGAAAUUGUUGAAAGGGAAGCGCUUGCAGCCAGACUUGCCUGUAGUUGCUUAUCCGGACUUUUGUCCGGUGCACUCUUCUGCGGGCAGGCCAGCAUCAGUUUGGGCGGUUGGAUAAAGGUCUCUGUCAUGUACCUCCUUUCGGGGAGGCCUUAUAGGGGAGACGACAUGCAACCAGCCUGGACUGAGGUCCGCGCAUCUGCUAGGAUGCUGGCGUAAUGGCUGUAAGCGGCCCGUCUUGAAACACGGACCAAGGAGUCUAACAUCUAUGCGAGUGUUUGGGUGUCAAGCCCAGACGCGUAAUGAAAGUGAACGGAGGUGGGAACCUUUUAGGUGCACCAUCGACCGAUCCUGAUGUCUUCGGAAGGAUUUGAGUAAGAGCAUGGCUGUUGGGACCCGAAAGAUGGUGAACUAUGCUUGAAUAGGGUGAAGCCAGAGGAAACUCUGGUGGAGGCUCGCAGCGGUUCUGACGUGCAAAUCGAUCGUCAAAUUUGGGCAUAGGGGCGAAAGACUAAU